rnacentral:rRNA from 1 species
CAGCCGUAAACGAUGCUCGCUAGGUGUCAGGCAUGGCGUGACUGUGUUUGGUGCCGAAGGGAAGCCGUGAAGCGAGCCACCUGGGAAGUACGGCCGCAAGGCUGAAACUUAAAGGAAUUGGCGGGGGAGCACAACAACGGGUGGAGCCUGCGGUUUAAUUGGACUCAACGCCGGGAAGCUCACCGGAUAGGACAGCAGAAUGAUUGCCGGGCUGAAGACCCUGCAUGACUAGCUGAGAGGAGGUGCAUGGCGUCAGUGACU